rnacentral:lncRNA from 1 species
GUUUAUUCUCUGUUGUUUGCAUAUUUGGUUUGGAAGUUUCCUGGCAAGGCGGUAAUUUUUAUUUCUUUUCACAGCGUUUGUGUGGACGCUACCUCCUCACUCUUUCCCUGCCUCACAUUUUCCGGACUUUUCUUGCCAAGCCACAUCGACUUGUUUUUUCAUAGAAAAUUCCAGCAGCCAGCCAUCUCCCGCUGUCCUCACACCUGCUUGCCCUCCCGUUUUGCUACUGUUUAUGGAAUAACGUGAGCACCCCAUCCCGUGGGGAGGCUGAGCAAAUGUGGCUGCUUUACCAACUAUUCCCUUGAGCUUCCAACCACCAGAACUGGGAGGUAAAUAAGCUGCUUUUCUUCCAAACUAUCUAGUUUGCACCUACUUUGUCUUCCAGUAGAUUAAGCA